rnacentral:rRNA from 1 species
AAGUCGAGCGGGAUCCAUCCAGUGGCAACACUGGGGAAGAUCUAGCGGCGAACGGGUGAGUAACACGUGAGAAACUUGCCCCGGAGUUCGGGAUAACUCGAGGAAACUCGAGCUAAUACCGAAUGCCCUCUUCUGAUCGCAUGGUCGGAUGAGGAAAGAUUCAUCGCUCCGGGAGAGUCUCGCGGCCUAUCAGCGGGUUGGCGGGGUAACGGCCCACCAAGGCAUCGACGGGUAGCUGGUCUGAGGGGCCGAUCGGCCACACUGGGGCUGAGACACGGCCCAGACUCCUACGGGAGGCAGCAGUAGGGAAUAUUGGAAAAUGGGCGCAAGCCUGAUCCAGCAGUGCCGCGUGAGUGAUGAAGGCCUUAGGGUUGUAAAGCUCUUUUACCCGGGAUGAUAAUGACAGUACCGGGAGAAUAAGCUCCGGCUAACUCCGUGCCAGCCGCCGCAGUAAGAC